CACCGCCCGUCACACCAUGGAAGCCAGCUGUACCGGAAGUCGGUGCGUACCCACCGACGAAGGAGUAGCCGCCCAUGGUAUGACUGGUGACUGGGGUG
rnacentral:rRNA from 1 species